rnacentral:rRNA from 1 species
UGGGCUUAAAGUGUCCGUAGCCGGUAAGGUAAGUUCCUGGUAAAAUCGGGCAGCUCAACUGUCCGCGUGCUAGGAAUACUGCGUUACUAGAGGGCGGGAGAGGUCUGAGGUACUGCGGGGGUAGGGGUGAAAUCUUAUAAUCCUCGCAGGACCACCAGUGGCGAAGGCGUCAGACUGGAACGCGCCUGACGGUGAGGGACGAAAGCCAGGGGAGCGAACCGGAUUAGAUACCCGGGUAGUCCUGGCUGUAAACGAUGCAUACUAGGUUAUGGUGCGGCCAUGAGCCGUAUCAGAGCCGUAGGGAAACCGUUAAGUGUGCCGCCUGGGAAGUACGGUCGCAAGGCUAAAACUUAAAGGAAUUGGCGGGGGAGCACCACAAGGGGUGAAGCCUGCGGUUCAAUUGGACUCAACGCCGGGAAACUUACCAGGGGAGACAGCAGAAUGAGGGUCAGGUUGACGACCUUACCUGACAAGCUGAGAGGAGGUGCAUGGCCGUCGCCAGUUCGUGCUGUGAGGUAUCCUGUUAAGUCAGGCAACGAACGAGACCCGCGCCUUUAUUUGCCAGCAAGAAGCUACGGCUUCGUUGGGAACACUAAAGGGACCGCCGUCGAUAAGACGGAGGAGGGAGCGGGCGAAGGCAGGUCAGUAUGCCCCGAAACCCCUGGGCUACACGCGGGCUGCAAUGGUAGGAACAAUGAGCUGUGACUCCGAGAGGAGAAACCAAUCUCGAAAUCCUAUCUCAGUGGGGAUUGUCGACUGUAACUCGUCGACAUGAA